rnacentral:lncRNA from 1 species
CCAGGGGUCUUUUCUAAAUUCCACGUGUAUGUCAGGGUAUGUUAUCUAAGAGUUUCAUUUGAGGAUAAUGAAGGAGAUGUUAUACAACACUUUUUCUAAGAGAACUGGGGUCUCGUGUGGUUGGGAACCAGGGAACAAAGUCAUCUCCCGUAAGUGCCCUGGGAGCGCUGUAUAGAGGGGAACCGCGCAGGGACCGCAUGGUGAGGGUCAGGCUAGGGCACAGUGGAGACUCUCUGAGCUUCUGCCCUUCCGUGGGGGAUGGAGUGGGAAAGGCUCUUCUCUAAGGGUGAGAACUGCCCAGGACCGGGGAGCAAAGAGCUGGGAGAAGCUCAGGUUUGGGGAAGAGUUCAACCCAGAAGACGGAAGGAGUCGAUCUCUGUGUGCACCAUGGGGGAUCCGCAGUGGGACACACUUCCCAGCAGCCACGUGUCCACUGUGUGGGAGUCAGUGCGGCCAGGGACUCCGUGUCCUCCACCCAGUCCCCCUGAACAGUGCUCCAUUUGGCUGAAGAGGGGACAGGCCGCAGGGCGGGCUCCAGUGAGUAAAGGGGCUGCGCAGGAGGCAUGGGGCAAGGGUGUGGACAGAACGUGGUAACGAACAUCAACAAAGACAAGGCACACAGAGAUGCAUGCUGGGCAGGAGCUCCGGCCUCACUGUCACUGCAGCAUCCCAUCAGGACAAAAUCCACAAUUGCCCCGGGAGCACCAUGUACACAGCAUUCGGGGCAGGCCACACAAGACGGCUGAUCCUCCAGCGGACACUCCCUGGGCGUCGGUGCUGGAAAUCGGCCAAAUGUAAAAAUACCCUCCCAACCCAACACGCUGGCCACCUGUGGCCCUUACACAAAGCCGGUCACCUUGGAUCCCAUCCCCGCCAGUCAACUCCGCUUUACAAUUUGGAACAAAACUUCUAGACAGAUACGCACGGGAGAAAGUAGGACCACAGCAACACGCACGUGACCGACCCCUUCAGCUGACAUGAAAAUGACACCAAGCAAGACUCCAGAGUGGCAGACGAACAACAGAGCUGGUUAUGUCCGGAUGAAACCAGCAGCCCGGCAUGCGGAGUCAGCACCACACACACACAGACCGGAAACCACACGCAGACUUGCACAGCUCACUCGGUCCCGCGAAGAGGGACGAGACAAGACGCAGCUGCGGAAGGACAAGAUGUAUGAAAACAAACCUUGUUCGGUUGAGGAAGAACAACCCAUGUCAUUUAAUCCAUCUGACAGUGCAUCUCCCCACAAAGCCGGGCAAAAGCAAAAACAACAAAGACCGUAAAAAAUAGGUUAUCCCAGUCCAAAGCUUAUCAGCUGGCAACAUGCUUAAUGUGUGCACGACUGUUUCAGAUGCGGGCUCCCCGGCACCCGGACAGUCUUGCUAUUUGGGAUCUCCAUCCCACAGAAGCCAUCGUCCAGGCUCUAUGGCAAAGCUUUUAUAACCUGCUGGGCUCAUUUACUUGGCCGGCUAAACACUGGACGACAACAAGCAAGGAUUAACUGUGGUAUUCACGUCCACAUUUAAACCAUCACUUUCUUCGAGUUGGCAAAUAAAAUCACCAAACAGAGGUCCCAUUUAAUUUUUUUUUUUUUUUAAGAGGAAGGGGACAGAAACAGCAUCACAGCAUCAGACAACAGCAACAUACAUGCUGGCCGGAUUGUGAACAGAACGCUUCGCGGCAGGCUGAAACCUCUCUUUUAAAGAGAUACACUUGAAUCCAUUUCUGGGUUCUACAGACCUCAGAGCACCCAUUCAUCACCUCACAGUGUUCAUUGUCUUCUCCCCUAAAGCCACAUUCCAGCAUCGUAAGGGCACUGAUUUCCUGGCACUGAUUGCUUCUGUGUUUGGGAAACAAAGGAUCCCUCCUCAGUAGCAGGGAGGCCACUUGAUCCUUUAAAGAGACUUUUUAAAGGAAAACAUCCCAUUGACCAGGCUGUACACGGCAAGUCAGAAAAAUGUGUGGUAUUUUAAUUUACCCACUUUGAAGCACCAACAUCCACCCCACACCCACCUCUAGCUUGGAAUUUGCUUCCACCAGACCCAUAUUGAGAAGUGUGACCCAACCCCAUAGAGGCAAAGGUGAGUCUCACCUCCACUUCUUGACAGGAGAAAGCUCUGCUUGUGAGCACCAAGGGUUUGCCCUGACGCCAAAGCAUGAGCCAACAGCCUCAGGCUUAAGGGACAGGCCUCGCUUCAUCCAUAUGUCUCCUAAGCUAAGUUGUAUAAGACAAGUCUUGCUGAAGACCAUAAUGCAGAAACGCCAUGAUUCCUGAGGUUGACAGAGAUAGACAAAUGGCAGGUGAAGAAUCUAGAGUCCUCUGGUGAUCAUCUGACACCACCCACCCCCACCCAAGAGGCCAGGAACGGACAAAAGAUUCACCCUGAGGAAGAAGGACUACAGCAGCACCCUGAGGUUAUGGAGGAUAUGGGGUGGAGGAAGCCAAGCCACAGAACCUAGAAUCAGGAAGCCACAUGGCCACCCACGAUCUAAAGCAGAAAUCCAGAAAUCCCUGGCUUGAGGACUCACGACAUCAAACCCAACACAGCCCACUUCCUCCAACUGCCUCCUCUCCUCUGUGCCUCUGAGCUCGGCUGCUCCUGGACUCUGAAAAUGUUCGAGUCAGAUAAAACAUUGCCCUCUCGCAAACACACUCAAUGCAGCAACUGAUUUGCCAAUAUGUGUCCCACCCUUGACACUCAAGACCGGGUACCAGGGAAGGCAGGUUUGAGGUCAAGAACAGAGAGUAGGGCCGAGCGCGGUGGUUCACACCUGUAAUCCCAGGACUUUGGGUGAGGCUGAGGUGGGUGGAUCACCGGAGGUCAGGAGUUUGAGACCAGCCUGACCAACAUGGUGAAACCCCAUCUCUACUAAAAAUACAAAAAUUAGCUGGGUGUGGUGGCAGGUGCCUGUAAUCCCAGCUACUCGGGAGGCUGAGGCAGCAGAAUCGCUUGAACCUGGGAGGUGGAGGUUGAAGUGAACUGAAACCGCUCCACUGUACUCCAGCCUGGGCGACAGAGGGAGACGCCAUCUCAAAAAAAAAGAAAAAAAAAAGAGAGAAAGAGGAUGAGAGAAAGGCUGACUUGGAGUGAACAAGAGCUGGGGGAGGAGCCAUCCAUCCAACAUGCAUUGCCUGAGGCCCCACCACGUGCCUAGCACAGUGGGGACGGUAGAAUCAGAUACCAUCUGUCCUUGAAGAGGUAACAGCCUGAGAAGACAAAAGUCAUGAAGCAAUGUGAGUUCCCUAGAGUGGGUGGAAUGGUGGUCCUCAAAAAGAUGGGCCCAAGUCCUAAUCCGUGGGACCUAAACUGCACCCUCAUUUGGAAACAGGGUCUUUUCAGGUGUGAUGAGUUGAAGGAUCUCAAGAUGAGAUCAUCCUGGAUUUAGGGUAGACUCUAAAUUCAGAGACUGGAGUCCGUAUAAGGGAAAGGAGUAGGACCUCUGAGAUAUACACAGGGGAAGCCAUGUGAAGACAGAGGCGGAGGCUGGGGUGAUGCAUCCACAAGCCCAGGAACUUCAGAGGCAAGGAAGGAUUCCUCCCUUGGGCCUGCAGAGGGAACCAGCCCUGCCAACACCUUGAUUUUGGACUUCUGGCCUUCAAAACAGGGAGACAGUCAAUUCCAGUUGCUUAAAGCCACACAGUUGGUGGUCAUUUGUUGUGGCAGCCCCGGGAACCGGGUACACAGCCCAUCCCUGGGUCCUGAGCAGGCCCACGAAAGAUGUGGAUGAGCAGAAACGCCUGGCAGGUCCUGAGAAGCAAAGGAGGAGCUGGUGCUGGGACGUCCGGCAUGAGAACCACCAGCGGGAUUUGAAACCGCAGUUCCAGAGGAACCCUCGACCACUGAGUCAGACUCUGAUGGUGGCGCUGGGCAUCUGCAUUCCACACAAGUUCCCCAAGGGACUCAGAUGCACCCCAAAUCAUACAGGCCGCUGGGCAGCGGGGGCCUCAGUGGGUAGGAGAGGGUUAGGGCAGGCGAGUCAAGAUGACAGUCAGGACCAGGACCAGGACCAGGAGUGGGGUGGUUCAGAAGCUGUCUUAGGGGCGGAUGCCAGCAACAUAGAAGGCUCCUGGGAAUGGAGGAUGGAGAGAGAGCAGAGGAGGCAGACGCAGCUGGAAGACUGGGGCCAGGACAUGGGGGAGUAGGAGCUGCAACAGCCAGAGAAGCAACGUGUGUGGAAAAGCCUGUUUUCCUGAGCGGGUGUGGUGUGUGCUCCCAUUAAACAGCAACAGAUUAGUAGCUCACUCCACCUAGGAAGGGUGCACAGGAUCCACCAUCCUUCAAACAUCACUUUUAGAUCUGGGGGGUAGAAGGGGACAGAGGGACAUUAUCUUCCAUGGUCAUCCCCUCCCCCAAAGGGCCUGGGACAUGCAAAUAUUUCUGAAUCUCCAAAUUAGCACAGGGUCUGUGAAAAAGGUGCUCAAUGAAGACUUGUCACCAGGCUGGGCGUGGUGGCUCAUGCUUGUAAUGCCAACACUUUGGGAGGCCGAGGCAGGCAGAUCACCUGAGGUCAGGAGUUCAAGACCAGCCUGGCCAAUAUGGUGAAACCCCGUCUCUACUAAGAAUAGAAAAAAUUGGGCCAGGCCCAGUAGCUCAUGCCUGUAAUCCCAGCACUUUGGGAGGCUGAGGCAUGUGGAUGAUGAAGUCAAGAGAUUGAGAUCAAACUGGCGAACAUGGUGAAACCCUGUCUCUACUAAAAAAAAAAACAAAAAAAACAAAAAAAACAAAAAAACAGAGGCCAGGCAUGGUGGCUCAGGCCUGUAAUCCCAGUACUUUGGGAGGCUGAGGCGGGCGGAUCACCUGUGGUUCAGAGUUUGAGACCAGCCUGACCAUCAUGGAGAAACCCCAUCUCUACUAAAAACACAAAACUAGCCGGGUAUGGUAGCGCGUGCCUGUAAUCCUACCUACUCGGGAGGCUGAGGCAGGAGAAUCGCUUGAACCCAGGAGGCAGAGGCUGCAGUGAGCCAAGAUCGCACCACUGCAUUCCAGCCAGGGCAGCAAGAGUGAAACUGUCUCAAAAAAAAAAAAAAAAAUUAGCUGGGCAUGGUGGCAGGCGCCUGUAAUCACAGCUACUCAGGGGGCUGAGGCAGGAGAAUCGCUUGAACCCGGGAGGCGGAGGUUGCAAUGAGCCAAGAUCGUGCCACUGCACUCCAGCCUGGGUGACAGAGUGAUAGACUCCGCCUCAAAAAAAAAAAAAAGAGUUGUCACGGGAAGAUGGUGACCACAUAGGUGUUUGAGCUGGUGAGAGUGCAGGCAUCUUCAGGACCUGCCAUUUCAGGUACCUGACAUGUGCAAGUACAGCCUGGGAGAAAGGAUGCCUCUCCUCUAGCACAGGCAGUCUGCCUUCCUCAGCGUAUGCGGGCUCCUCUCUAGACGGGAAGAGACUGGGGCCAUAUCGUCCUGCUCAGUUGGUGGCAACAACCACCAACGGAGUGGCUGAAAACCACCAGAGGCCGGGCACGGUGGCUCACGCCUGUAAUCCCAGCACUUUGGGAGGCCGAGGCGGGCAGAUCACGAGGUCAGGAGAUCAAGACCACAGCGAAACCCCAUCUCUACUAAAGAUACAAAAAAGUAGCCGGGGGUGGUGGCGGGCGCCCGUAGUCCCAGCUACUCCGGAGGCUGAGGCAAGAGAAUGGCGUGAACCCGGGAGGCGGAGCUUGCAGUGAGCCGAGAUCGCGCCACUGCACUCCAGCCUGGGUGACAGAGCAAGACUCUGUCUUAAAAAACAAAAACAAAAACAAAAAAACACCAGAAUUUACUAUCUCAUAGUUCUGAAGGCCAGAAGUCCAAAAUCGAUGUGUUGGCAGGGCUGGUUCCUUCUGCUGGUGCUCUGGGUGGACAGCCUCCAAGGUCUCAUAGUUGGAAUUCUUUCAUUCUGUGAUCCCACAGAGGUGACUAUGCAGCACCAAAAGCGUGUCCUCCUCCCUCCCUCUCUCGGUCUCCAUCCCCCAGGGUAGAGGGCCAGGCUGCACCUCCCCUCUGAAGGUCUCCUGGGUGACCAUGAUGGACCCUCACCCUGACACUGCUAAGAGCAUUCUGGGAAGGAGCAUCCCAGUGACAAUUGAAAAUUUCAUGGUGGGUGAGAAAUGCCACAGAAGACAUUCCUCUUUGAAAUGUUAAUGUGGAAGGUGGAGGAAUCUAGGCUUUGCAGAGAAAACAACAGAUUCUGUGGGUGAGAAGUUACUCUGAGCCCCGGCUGAGGACAGGGGUGGCCAGGACCAGUUCUGACUAAAACAUGAUGUCUCUCGAAAGCUCAGAAGAUGAGCACCUCAAGCCACCCUCGUGAGAGACCACUGUGAGCUACAAAGGCUUCCCUCGGGGGCUGCCAGGCAGCACCGUCACACCGUCAUGAGGCUGGCACCUUAGUCCAUCAGUCCAUCCAUUCUCAGACAACUCUCUCCAGCCGCCAGGCUCCACCCCAUGCGGUCUUAAGCAUCAUCUUCCUCCAGCCCUACCCUGCCUUCUAAGCACAGCUGGGGAGCUGGCUAGGAGCUGACAAAUGCUUAGCUCUAGUAAUCCUAGAGCGAGGGAGCCUGGAUGAGGAAGCAGAGAGGAGAUACCCCUCUAACUAUGGUGGGGGGGACUGCCCUGUUGGUGAUCUGUGGCCCAGGAAGCCUCCUCUUCCCUCUGGCCACCUUCCCAGCUCUGGUUCUAGGUCCAGCCUCUAUGAAGCCUCCCCAGCCUGCCCCAUCCCAGUCCACACUGAUGCCUGCAGCUCUUGUAUGGUGGAAGGUUUUUCUCAGCUUCAACAAGGAGGCAGCAGCAUGUGGUGGUUGAAAGGACAGGUUCUCAAGGUAAGUACUUCAGCAUCAGAUGGACAUGGGGUUGAAAUCUGGUUUGCCCAAUUCCUCCAGCAUGUGGCUCUGGAAAAGUCCUGAAUUUAAGAUGUCAUCGGUGCCCUGCCUGCAUCUCCUUGGCACUCACUGUUCCCAGGUAUGUGCACUGCUUACCCCCACAGGCCCCUGCAAUUCCCCAAAUCCCUGAUGGGGGUCUUGGUACCCAGAGGGAGCACGCAUAGGAGCUGGAACUGGUGGGUAAAUACAUGAACUGCUUCAUAAUGACCAGGCACACCCUCUGCAGGUUCCCAGAGGACCCCAGGGGCCUGAGCCUCCGGGGCCCACAGAGUCAACUGCUCAUGAACACAUGUGUACAGCUGGUGCCCUGCCCUUCCCUGACUUCCUUCCCUAAGUCCCUGCUGGUGCUUCCUGUAUCUCCUCCACAAUAAACAACUUGUCCUCAAAUCCUCACCUCAAGGUCAGCUUCUAGGGGAGCCCCACCCCAAAUGCCAUGUCGCCUAGGCUCUUCUACACAUGGAGACCACAACUGCAUCUGGACGUGGAGGUUUGCAUGGCUGUGAUGCUGUACGUGAAGUGCUGGCCUGUAGUACUUGGUAAGUGCUAACUGUUUUCACUGUGGUUACUCAUUCAUUCACCCAGAAGUUGGGCAGCUUUCUUAAACAAUGGGCAAAGACCCGCAUGCAGGAGUUAGCAAGACACAUGCAGGCAAAAAACGCACAAGCUAGUGGGGAAGAGAGUAUGAGACCCUCCCCACCACAUACCCAGCACCUGGCCCCUGCCAGAGGGGCGAUGCAAAGUGGGGGUGACCACAGGGGAGGGGGAGAAGCAAUUGGGUUCCAACCUACAGGUUUAGUUAAGAAGGCAUUAGUUCAGGAUUUCACAACAGAUUCACUGUGCUUGGAUCAAUCAACACAUUGAGAGAUGUCAGGUUCCUAGAGGACUCAGCCUCCACACCCUUCAUCUCUCUCUGCGGGAAACUUUCAACACAAUUGAUCUAAAUGGCACAGUUUUUGUUGAUGCCAGUUUG